rnacentral:ncRNA from 1 species
CAGCUAGAGAGUAGUCCAGCCCGGCAACUAUUGCUCCGGCCGGUAGCAACCGAAGCGGCGGUGUAGGUAACGAACCGCCGGAGCCUUCGGUGUAAAGGGUCGUGAAAGCGACUCGGCGAGUAUGCAGGCCGUAACGAGA